UCUAUGGUGUGCCAUGCAGUGGUUUCUACUAGUUGCCACAAAGUAAAAAUUAAUGGGGGGAUAAAUCACUUUUUGGUCUUAAUUUAAGGUUAGCAGUGAGGUUAAGAUUAGGGUUAAGGUUUGAAAUAAACGUGGUUUAUGACAUUGUAGCUGUGGUAACUAGUGUAAAGUGGACAUUCCUGCAUACGGAAAACUGUCGAGAUUGCCACGGCGAGAUAACGUGAAUUCAUUUGCCAUUUAUUUUCCGCGUCAACAGGUGUCUCCAGGUGCGAUAUCCAAGAGCAUGUCUUCAGUUCACUUUAGUAUCAUGUUGUUGAUACUGUCAACACUAACUCCCAUUCUCUUGCAAGACUGUAAAUUGUCUUCGGUUGAGGAACAUUUUGAAAUCUCUUGCAAAAAGGAUGAUGAAGAAAUAUGCAAUUCUACCACCGGCUGUGGAUGGGUUGGUUUCAACACUGAAAUGUCAUUUGUUUGCUCUAAAGCGUCGAAUGGCGAGUUCCAAUGCAAGCGUGACAUAACUGAAACUUCGGAGAAAGAAACAUGUGAAAAACUAAUGAAGAACUUUUGCAAAACCAACGACAAAUGUGGAUUCAUUAACCCUGAUAAAAAUCCUUUAAUAUGCGAAAUAAAGAUGAAAAAAACAGUGCCCCCAGUGCAAUCAAUUGUGCAAGCAGUGCAAGUGGAUAAACACAGAAAUGAAUCAACUGGAGAAGAAAGAAAUUCCAACCAGUCAUGCAUUUUCAUUUGCAUUUUCUUUUGCAUUGUAUGCAUUGUAGUUGGAAUUUUCAGUGGAUUUUUUCUGGAAAGAUGUCUCUCUGGUAACAGGCACAUUGCAGUACAUGAAGAAGUAACGUCCAGGACACAGACAAUCUAACUCUAACUGACUUUAACAAGCUAGAUACUAUUUGUUUCAUUUAUUACUUUUUUAUUUUGGGUGUAUUAUUUUUGUCUGAGCUUGGGUUGAGUCAUUGUGGGGUUGUGUUAACCUUCACUGACUCGGAUCAGGCCCUUAAUUGUUUUAUUUCUCUGUUUAACUCUUUAUCGAAAUUACGGAUUGCCUCUUAUCCGCUCGUCGUCCCCUUAUGCCAUAGUAAAUAAUGCAUCACUCCCCUAGUAGAACCCCAAGGACUAACCUGUAAUCAGUAGACAAGCUACAUGUCCAGUACCUUCCUCAUUAUCUCACCGUAGUUUAACACUGGAUGUCUACUUUCACUAUUUGCAGGUCUGAAUAAGAACUGUGGGAUGUCAUUCAUUAUUGUGGUGCAAUGGACUUUAGCAUUAGGGAACAUUAGUGAUGUUGGCAAAAAUUGUGAAAAUGGGUAACAGUUGUGCCUAAGGGAGGGAUGCCGAGGCCUUGUCUAUUACUCAGAUUGGGUGUGACCACAAUAUUUGCUCUAGCACACCUUAGUGGGAGUUAUUUUCAGUUUAUUGCAAAUUCAAGUUAUUCAUUAGGGACAUAGCAGGUUUUUAGGCAGGAUGAACAUACAAUACAGAACAUAUAGAUUCUGUAUAAACACCAGUUGAAUGUUAGUCCACUGUUGAUGCUACUUUUUCAGUUCCAUUUCUCAUUCUAGGGAGAUGGGUUACAUCUUACUGAAGCAUCGGUUAUUAUGAUCAAUAUCAUUCACUGUUUAUAGAUAAGGAGGGAUUGUCCCCUUUUCAAUGGCUGAUUGUUGACCUCUUGGAUGGGUUUUAUGUAGAAUUUAUUUUCCACUACAUGACUUUGGUACCAGAGAGAGUUCUCUGUGUUGGAUGGUCACAUACACAGUAGGAGGUUUCUUCCUAAUCUACAGUGUCAACUGCAUCUACUGUUGGCCUACUACAGAUGAUCCUAACCAAAACCAAUAAUCUUUCACUACUAUCAGAAUUCAGAAAAUAACACUUUGUAAAACACCACCAGUCCUGAAACAUCCUUAGAGGUUCAUUGUUUAUUUAUAACUCAUGGCUAGGUUGUUCUCCUGUUGUGUACUUCAUGAAACCACUGGUGACACGAGGGAGUAAAUUAUUGAUCACAUCAGAGGAGAGAUGUGGCUGACUCACCCUCAUCACCUCAAACCAAUCUGUUUCUUUAUUCAAACACUGCUUUGAAAAUGGGGAAGACAAGGUCAAAUACUUGAGCUCAGAGAUUUGAAUUUUCCAUGUAUUGCUUUUGGAUUGUAAGAAUCACAGGUUGUGGUUGCUGCAUCAAGAUACAGUUGAAGUCACAAGUUUACAUACACCUUAGCCA